GACAAAAUUCAUAAUGAGGGAUAAUUUCCAUUCUUUUCUAAUCUAAUCUCUGUUCUGUUAUAAUUUGGUAACUAACUAUUUGGUUUCCAAAUUCUCAGGCUAUACCAAAAAAUGUAAGGUUGUCAUAUUAUUUGUAAGAUUACCAAAUUAUUAGUUACUACAAAUCCACCUAUAAUACAGUGACAAUCAGAAAACUCUGGAAUAAGAAGACGACUUUUAAAGGCAAGUUGUGACUUUAAAUAGUUCAAUGAACACGAGACACAUCAAUUGUGCAGUGUCACCAGAUCCAAUCCAAGUGAGUUAAUAAGUCUCUAGUAAAACUAUUUGCUUUGUAACUACAUGAAAUGCACUUCAGUUUCGUAGUAAAGUCGUUUUCCUAUUUCACAGUUCUCACUGUAGUAUUUAAUCUCCAUCUUGGAAAUUGGCAUAAUAAACCCCAAAAUGUAGGUGUAAUACAAUGUAAUAAAAAUACACAUUUCGAAAAUAAAAUAUUAGUAGCACUUGAUUGUUGAAGAAUGAAAGGGCCAACCUAUUAGUCCCAGACUGUGUCAACCUUGUUGCACCAGCUAGUCUGCUUUAUUUACCCAACGUCAGGGCGGUACAGUACAAAUCGAACCAUAGGGUUGACCCGGCUCGUAAAUUCUAAUGUACUACGGCUGCCCACAAGAAGGAAAGAAAUUGACAGAUAAUUUUUUCCCUCAGUGGUCAGUGGAAAAUGUAUCUCAAGUGGACUUCUAUUCUCUGAGCGGACUUGUUAAACUAAAUAAAUAAAAAUAAAAUUUAUUUUGUCUAAA